rnacentral:rRNA from 1 species
AGUGAACGCUGGCGGUAGUCCUAACACAUGCAAGUCGAACGGCAGCACAGUAAGAGCUUGCUCUUACGGGUGGCGAGUGGCGGACGGGUGAGGAAUACAUCGGAAUCUACUUUUUCGUGGGGGAUAACGUAGGGAAACUUACGCUAAUACCGCAUACGACCUACGGGUGAAAGCAGGGGAUCUUCGGACCUUGCGCGAUUGAAUGAGCCGAUGUCGGAUUAGCUAGUUGGCGGGGUAAAGGCCCACCAAGGCGACGAUCCGUAGCUGGUCUGAGAGGAUGAUCAGCCACACUGGAACUGAGACACGGUCCAGACUCCUACGGGAGGCAGCAGUGGUGAAUAUUGGACAAUGGGCGCAAGCCUGAUCCAGCCAUACCGCGUGGGUGAAGAAGGCCUUCGGGUUGUAAAGCCCUUUUGUUGGGAAAGAAAAGCAGCAGGUUAAUACCCCGCUGUUCUGACGGUACCCAAAGAAUAAGCACCGGCUAACUUCGU